ensembl:lncRNA
GCCGAUUUGAUUUGCUUUACAGUGGAGCUUCUUUUACUUGUUUCCAUUAGCUAACGUCAUCUGGCCAGUUAUGAUGAGCUAGCGUGGCAAAUUCGGACAUUCGGCGUUUAGUGUUUAACGCGCCGAAGCAGCAUCGUUACAACCAUUUUUAGCCACGUCAACUGCUCAAAAGAACUGUUAUGUCCGCCGCGGCCCCGCGGCGAGCGCCGGACGGGCACGGCGCUAGCUGCUAAGCUAACUACCUGCAGCUUACCUGAUGACGAACCUGUCACAUCCAGCUGCACUUCAGCAGCCGCCGCCGCCUCUCGAGAGCGCUAUUUCGGUUGUGACGGGACCCGCGGACGGUAGGAACAGGACGGGGAGAAGAAAAGAUAUGGGUCUUCGGACGAGACUCCUGACUUUUUCUGUCCUCGGGCCAACUUUUCGUGGUUUCAAAAAACGGUAUUUUAUUGAAAAGGCAGAAGGAAAGUGGUACAGUCCAGAUGCACCAAGGGUAAAGGGAGGGGGAGCUCGUUACCUAGGAAACAACAGUGAAUCUCCCUGUGGCGAAAGAUGUGGCCGCUGAUUUAUGGACCAGUGCCUCCCUGUCUGUCCGUCAAAACCGCCUGCCAUCGAAUAGAUGAUUAAGAUUGAGAAGAUUAAAGACAUUUGACAACACCUAUUGCAAUUUAUUCUGUGAGAAAAGCAGAUCGAAGCACCUAAAUCAGCAUACCAUCACCACUUGAUGCUUUGCGGAGGAGCAUGUACAUCCCCAGCAUUUUGCGGGCUAAUUGCAUGCAGCUGGCUGAAUUUAGCGAUCCAUGACACACAGAGACCCUUUGUCAGCAAGAAGCACAGCGAGUCAACAAGGAGUAAGUCACAAAUAUCCCCGGAAUGAGCAGAGAGGCACAAAUUUAGCCCCACUGACUGCUGCCCACGCCAUGUGCUGCCUAUUGAGCGUGCGGACAAUGAACACAGCCAUCACAGACUGCUCUGUCAGGUCCAAGGCCAUGCUUCAGUGGAAUGGUACCAGGAAUGAAGGCAUCGCAGUUUGACAGGAGUCGGGCCAUCGGCGGUGUCGGGGACCAAAGACGGUGUUAGUUAUUGCUGUGAUAUUUCAUAACAACAGCUGUUCGAAGCAGAGACCUUAAUGGGCUCAAUUUAUUGCCAAUCAAUGAUCAAUCCUGAGUCAGACGGGUGGUGGUCGGCAUGUGCUUCUGCCUCGUGUCACAAUAUAUUGUGGCAUUUGAUGCAUCGCAGUGGUGGCGUUCACAUUACUCCACAUUAUCUCAGUCAGAGCGACAGUGUUAAACAAGUGUUAAAGAAAACCAAGAAUGCCGACGUGUUCGUGCUCUAUUCAGCAUUUAUUAUCAGAAGGAUAUCAGCGCCGCAAGGUUUUACCCAACCACAUAUUUUAUCUGUGUAUUGCAAGUGGAAAAGCAAAAUACAACACAUCCAAGGCAGCGCCACAAUGGAGGAAAACUGUAUUUUUAAGACCUAACUGAUAAUGAAAAACUGCUUGCAUAGGUCAAGCUCCUCCCCAAAGGCCUAAUGUAUUGAUCUCAAUGCAGAGGAGGCAGCGCCGGCUGCUGCCGGCAAUACUUCUCUUAAAAGUCCCUGAACGCCCACACACUCGCAAACAAACACAAACUUGCCUCACGCUCAUGGAAAACACAACGGCGCAGAAACAUCAAUUUAACAAGAUCUCUUCUUUACUUUGACUUUGAGGUCGGCGCGUUGACGUCGGCAAAGGGGUUGAAACGCUUGUGUCACUUCCCCCUCCUCCUUGCUCUGUGCUGGACGAAGCCAUUUAGCUGCUAUUCAGCGGCGCGCUUAUCGUGGCUGCCGUUUGGGAAACGGGGGCCUCGGCACAUGCUGUGCUCAUCAAGCUGUUUUGACUUUACAUUCGUUGUACUUGUAGUCUGCGGGGAUGACCUCGGGGUCAAACUGAGGGGGCGUCGGGCUGAAAAACAACCGCUGCAUCUAGGCAACAUCGCUGUUGUCCAAAGCGCACAAUGAGGUGGACCCCCGCGGAUAGAAGACAUUAAUAAACAACGGGCCUUAAAGACAGGCCACACACACACACACACACACAGCGGUGGGCAUGGCUUUUGCGGCAAGAACAGAAUUGAUCUUGGAAAUCCUUGCACACUGAACGAGAACACACCUGAUUGUGAAAGCUUUUGACCCAAAUGCUUAAUGCAGCGCAGGUUUAUUAGAAAAGAGCUUAUGGCCGACACAAAGCUCAAUGGGUGUAUGUGUGCGCACCCUCAUGGAGGUUUAGUCAAUUCGAUUGAUGGUGGGGAGAUCACAUGGGCAUUUUACCCCCACAAUGACUUGGACGAGCGUUCUCUUUUUACGCAUCACAUGGUCUGACCAGUGAUGGAUUGGAGACGGGCCUUCGCCGGGGCUCGGAGCAAACCGGUUACCGAGUGCAUGUGCAU